CUUCAGUGAAGUAUAUUUGCUGUAUCACAAGGGUGUCAGGUGACUAACAGCUAGUACCCGUUUCUAUGGAUUGCUCUCAACAAAGAACUGGAUGCUGUGGAAGACAAUGUCCCCAUGCCUGUUUUGAAGAUGGACCAAACCUAUGGAACCUGGCUUUGAGAAUUAUUUGGCCUAUGAAGUAUAAUGAUGCUUGGCUUAAUGAUGCUCAGGAUGGGGCUUGAUCUUCUACUAGACUGCAUGUUAGCCCACUUUUUAACAUCAGUAAUCAGACUGACCAAAUUUAUAGACCAUUUUUGGGAUACGUGAGUUUAAAAAUUCCAGUCACCAGAUUGAAGUCAAUCGGACAACUUCAAGAUAGCAAGUAGAUUACUGGAUUGAAAUGGCAGUUCUAUCCCCAAACAAAUUGAGCUGAACUACCCGAUCAAAGCAUUAAAAAUUGAGCAAAGGAGAUUUACUUUGAAUGU